rnacentral:rRNA from 1 species
UGGCUCAGAUUGAACGCUGGCGGCAGGCCUAACACAUGCAAGUCGAACGGUAACAGGAAGCAGCUUGCUGCUCGCUGACGAGUGGCGGACGGGUGAGUAAUGUCUGGGAAACUGCCUGAUGGAGGGGGGAUAACUACUGGAAACGGUAGCUAAUACCGCAUAACGUCGCAAGACCAAAGAGGGGGACCUUCGGGCCUCUUGCCAUCAGAUGUGCCCAGAUGGGAUUAGCUUGUUGGUGGGUAACGGCUCACCAAGGCGACGAUCCCUAGCUGGUCUGAGAGGAUGACCAGCCACACUGGAACUGAGACACGGUCCAGACUCCUACGGGAGGCAGCAGUGGGGAAUAUUGCACAAUGGGCGCAAGCCUGAUGCAGCCAUGCCGCCGUGUAUGAAGAAGGCCUUCGGGUUAGUAAAGUACUUUCAGCGGGGAGGAAGGUGUUGUGGUUAAUAACCGCAGCAAUUGACGUUACCCGCAGAAGAAGCACCGGCUAACUCCGUGCCAGCCGCCGC